rnacentral:lncRNA from 1 species
AUACUGGAACCAGCUGCUGUCGGGUGAACCCCAGCUCCACGACUUUCUAGCUGUGCCGUCUUGAGGGCAGGUGACAUCACUCUGUGCCUCAGUUUCCCUUGUCUGGAAGAUGGGGCGAAUAAUCAUAGUAACUACCUUCUAGGGGGCGGUUGUGAAAAUUACAGGAAUUAAAUGCAAAGAGAACAGUUCCUGGCUGACAGCGAGCACCUUGCAGAUUUUAUAAACCAGAGCAGCUGCCUGAAGGUUUCCAAGAGAAAAUUCUGCACAGUUUCUAAUCAGGGUGACAGUUCCCCCUGCACAGGAAGUUGCUUUUAUUAAUUUUUUUAAUCUUUCUUUUUUUUUUUGUGUCAGACUCUAUCAGUCAUCAGACAGCACUUGGGUCUUGUGGGCAUUUGUGUUUUCCCCCCACCCCGGGUUGCCUGGAACUCACGAUUGCAUCUAAACCACAGUGGGCCCGCCCAAUAUAGGGGCAAAAUUGAACGACUGAAAAAUGGGUCACUCUCGGAGUUCCUGUCCUGGCCCAGUGGUUAACGAAUCCGAAGAGGAACCAUGAGGUUGUGGGUUCAAUCCCUGGCCUUGCUCAGUGGGUUAAGGAUCCGGUGUUGCCAUGAGCUGUGUUGUAGGUAGCAGACGCGGCUCAGAUCCUGCAUUGCUGUGGCUCUGGCAUAGGCCGGUGGCUACAGCUCCGAUUCAACCCCUUGCCUGGGAACCUCCAUAUGCCGUGGGAGCAGCCCAAGAAAAGGCAAAAAGACAAAAAAAUUUUAAAAAUAAAAAUAAUGGGCCACUUGCAUCGCCUGGGUAGAAAAAUCCCAGUAAUUUAUGGAGUAGGACCAUGACGUUCCACCCCUUUCAAGGCUGUAAUGAUUUCCUUCCAAAGAGGACUGUAUGGAAACGGGGAGGACCAGAAUAACUUUGCAGUCGAGAAACCUGACAAACACUCCCUCAGCCGGAUGAUCAAGGCCAGCAGCAACAGUGAUCAGUCAUGGUGACAGCACUGUGCCCUUGAUAGGAUGUGAUGAGAAUGGCACUUUAUUUACCUCCAUGAUCUUCCUCCCCAAACCCAUAACCCCAGUUGAAACAUGAGAGAAAACAUCAAACCCCAAUGGAAGGAAAGCCUAUAAAAUACCUGACCAGGGAGUUCCCGUCAUGGCUCAGUGGUUAACGAAUCUGACUAGGAACCACGAGGUUGCGGUUUUGAUCCCUGGCCUUGCUCAGUGGGUCGAGGAUCCAGCGUUGCCAUGAGCUGUGGUGUAGGUUGCAGAUGCGGCUCGGAUCCCACGUUGCUGUGGCUCUCGCGUAGGUGGGUGGCUACAGCUCCGAUUUGACCCCUAGCCUGGGAACCUCCAUGUGCCGCGGGAGCGGCCCGAGAAAUGGCAAAAAG